GACGAACGCUGGCGGCGCGCCUAACACAUGCAAGUCGAACGAGCGAGAGAGAGCUUGCUUUCUCAAGCGAGUGGCGAACGGGUGAGUAACGCGUGAGGAACCUGCCUCAAAGAGGGGUACAACAGUUGGAAACGACUGUUAAUACCGCAUAAGCCCACGACCCGGCAUCGGGUAGAGGGAAAAGGAGCAAUCCGCUUUGAGAUGGCCUCGCGUCCGAUUAGCUAGUUGGUGAGGUAACGGCCCACCAAGGCGACGAUCGGUAGCCGGACUGAGAGGUUGAACGGCCACAUUGGGACUGAGACACGGCCCAGACUCCUACGGGAGGCAGCAGUGGGGAAUAUUGCACAAUGGGGGAAACCCUGAUGCAGCGACGCCGCGUGGAGGAAGAAGGUCUUCGGAUUGUAAACUCCUGUUGUUGAGGAAGAUAAUGACGGUACUCAACAAGGAAGUGACGGCUAACUACGUG
rnacentral:rRNA from 1 species